GUGGGGAUGACGUCAAAUCAUCAUGCCCCUUAUGAUUUGGGCUACACACGUGCUACAAUGGACAAUACAAAGGGCAGCGAAACCGCGAGGUCAAGCAAAUCCCAUAAAGUUGUUCUCAGUUCGGAUUGUAGUCUGCAACUCGACUACAUGAAGCUGGAAUCGCUAGUAAUCGUAGAUCAGCAUGCUACGGUGAAUACGUUCCCGGGUCUUGUACACACCGCCCGUCACACCACGAGAGUUUGUAACACCCGAAGCCGGUGGAGUAACCUUUUAGGAGCUAGCCGUCGAAGGUGGGACAAAUGAUUGGGGUGAAGUCGUAACAAGGUAGCCGUAUCGGAAGGUGCGGCUGGAUCACCUCCUUU
rnacentral:rRNA from 1 species